CUUCACACCGCAAUUAAUCUUCUUCAACCCUCAAACAAUCGAUAGAAACCCUAAAAUUCUGAAAAUCUCACACAAAAUCUGCCGCCUCCGCCUCUACACCGUGAAUCGGUGAUUUCAGCCAAACUACUUCGAGAUUGGCGAUUUCCAGCCACAACUACUUCGAGAAUCAGCGAAUUUCAGCAAUUCCGAAUGCCUCUAUACCACUCAGCCAGUAAUCGCCGAAAUUAGUCCACCGUCGACGUUUCUGAGAAUAUUGCUGUGUAAGACAAAUUAAAAUGGCACGAAAAAGAAUAAGAUCACAGAUGGAAGAAGAAGAAGAAGAAGAGUUUGAACAUAACUCUAGAAGGGAGACAUAAGAAGAAGUUGAAAACAACACUAGUAAUCGAAAUACGAAUGAGGAGGAAGCUGAAACAAGCAGUAUUUUAAACAUUGAUGAAGAAAAAAGAGAAAUAAAGGAGGUUUAGUGAUGGUGAAAGUAAACAAGGGAGUGAAGGCCCUGCUCUUUCGAAUGUCACCAACAUGUUUACCAGUGUAAUGCAUUGUCAUGAAUAUUGCGACAAAACACUUUGAGGAGGCAAAAGAGAAGAGACCGAUAGAUGUUGAGAAGAUGGUCGCGGACUACAAGAAAUCGUCGUUGAAUGAACUUCUUUUAUCUUCAAACAAUAGGUUUAGUUUCAGUGUUAGUUUUUGGUGUAAAUGAAUUGACUAAUGUUAUUAUUUAUUGAAUAC